AUGCAAUUCUCAGAGAUGGUGAUACUGCAAAUAAUGUCAUUGACAGCUUCAUAGAAAUGCUUGAGAUUGAGCAACAAGUCAAGAAGCCAGAAAAGAAUAAAUCAUUCUUUUUCUCAAGCCUUUGUUGGUCUUUAGUGAAAUGGGGUUAUGGGGAGCUGAGAAAUCAUUUAAUUGAUAAAGUCCU